GCACCGAUGGCCGAGUGGUUCAGGCAUUCGCCUGGUAAGCGGAGUACGCUGGUUCGAUUCCAGCUCGGAACA
rnacentral:tRNA from 1 species